ensembl:snoRNA
GGCCUCUCUCCCACGGGGCUGUGUGAGGGGUCCCUUUUCUCCUCAGCCAGGGCCAGAGGCCAAGAUCAGCCCUGAAGGAGCAUUGUCGGGGCUGCCGCGAGCUCGCAGCCUUGUUUUCCGGCCUCAGACACCG